GACGAACGCUGGCGGCGUGCUUAACACAUGCAAGUCGAACGGAAAGGCCCUGCUUGCAGGGUACUCGAGUGGCGAACGGGUGAGUAACACGUGGGUGAUCUGCCCUGCACUUCGGGAUAAGCCUGGGAAACUGGGUCUAAUACCGGAUAGGAGCCAUUUUUAGUGUGAUGGUUGGAAAGUUUUUUCGGUGUAGGAUGAGCUCGCGGCCUAUCAGCUUGUUGGUGGGGUAAUGGCCUACCAAGGCGGCGACGGGUAGCCGGCCUGAGAGGGUGGACGGCCACAUUGGGACUGAGAUACGGCCCAGACUCCUACGGGAGGUAGCAGUGGGGAAUAUUGCACAAUGGGCGCAAGCCUGAUGCAGCGACGCCGCGUGGGGGAUGACGGCCUUCGGGUUGUAAACUCCUUUCGCUAGGGACGAAGCUUUUGUGACGGUACCUAGAUAAGAAGCACCGGCUAACUACGUG
rnacentral:rRNA from 1 species